GGGCCCGCACAAGCAGCGGAGCGUGUGGUUAAUUCGAUGUUACACGAAGAACCUUACCAGGGUUUGACAUGCAAGUGGUAGGAAGCCGAAAGGUGACCGACCCUUCGGGGAGCUUGCACAGGUGCUGCAUGGCUGUCGUCAGCUCGUGUCGUGAGAUGUUCGGUUAAGUCCGCUAACGAGCGCAACCCUCGCUGUGUGUUAUAUGUGUCACACGGGACUGCCGGUCUUAAGCCGGAGGAAGGUGGGGAUGAUGUCAAGUCAGCAUGGCCUUUAUAUCCUGGGCUACACACACGCUACAAUGGUCAGCACAAUAGGUAGCCAAGCCGCGAGGUGGAGCCAAUCCUCAAAGCUGGCCUCAGUUCAGAUCGCAGGCUGCAACCCGCCUGCGUGAAGCCGGAGUUGCUAGUAACCGCAGGUCAGCUAUACUGCGGUGAAUACGUUCCGGGGCUU
rnacentral:rRNA from 1 species